CCUCCCCAAACCGAGACCGUCUCCUUCCCCUUCUCGUUCUCUAUCUCCUCCUCUUCCUCCUCCUCCGCCUCCUCCUCCUAUGGCUGCUCCAACCUAAAAUCCUCCCAACUCGACGCCUAAUCCUUGAGGGAAAGUAGCAAAACAGAACAAGGAGAGCGAGCACGGAGAGGUGUAUCUUCGAGGUGGAUUGGCCCUUUUCCCUCUCUUACCGUUGCCCUAGGGUUUGGGGAAAACCAAGUGGUAGUGCCUCGGAUCGCGCCUAAAGUGGUCAUCCCUUCAUUGGAGGUAAGUGAAUGUAGCAGUUGCGUUGCUACAACUUUAACAUUCUAUUUUUACUGCCUCCACUUAUAAAAUACAGCACUAAGUGAUAAUAUAACAAAUUUGGACAUGACUCAUAAUGAUUGGGUGAAGUAUGAAAUAUUGUUGCUAAUAUAAAUCUAGAGGUAACGUGGCCUUUUACUUCAAUAUGGGUGGAUAGAUAAAUAAGGUGGUCUAUAUGUGACGGAAUUUGAAUUUAUGGCUGGGGAUGAAAGUAUAUUUACAUAUAGCAUAUACUUAGUAAUUUAUCCUAUGACAUAUUUUUCUGUGAGUAAAAUCUAAGAAAUCCUUGGUGGUUUACUAGUGAGUGGACUUGUUUUAGUAGAGGUAUGUUAACCUUGGUGUAUGAAAACCUCUGUGGAAUUUACGCUACUUUAUGUCUCCUAGUGCUAUCAUGUGUGGAUAAAUUGAAGUUUGGAUUACGAGCAAGGUUCGAAGUAGUUUCUUACUAUUAUUUGGUAUAUGUGUUCAAAUAUAUGAAAUAAAUCUUGGGUUGACUGGCUCUCCUUAGAAAUAUUUGUUAUAUGAUAGAUAUGCUUGGGGCUUGAAUUAUGAAAUUUGUAUGUUUAAAUUGAUAAUGGCUACAUGCUACUUAUUUCUGUUAAGACUAAGGAGAUCUAUAGAUAUGAUAGUACGAAUAAUUGUUUGGUUGAUGUUUUCAACAUAUGAUUAUUCAGUCAUGGUUGAUUGAUGUUUGCAACAUAUGAUUAUUCAGUCAUGGUUCGUUAAUGUUCGGAACAUAUGAUUAUUCAGUUAUGGUUGGUGUUGUUUAUGUUGAGAGAGUAUUGUUUGCAUUUCAGGCAUUAACUAUCGUGGAUUAUUCUCUUCUUUCAUCAUGGAGUGCAGAGUAUUUGAAUUUGGAGUAUAUGUUAUCUGGCUUUGGCUUUGGAGAUCUUGUUGCAUUGCAUUUCAUUGCACUACAUUACAUGGUAUUUGGAGUUAUGUCGCGAACCUAUGGUUGCGACCGUACCGGUAUAACAUCGUUUAUUGGGCAUAAUGAUGCAUCUUCAUACCAUGUUGGGUAUGAAGGCAGGAGUUCAUAUGCAUCCAUAUGCAUACAUCAUUGAUUUGGCAUAGAGACGCAGCUUCAUACCUUAUUGGGUAUGAAGGUAGGAGUUCAUAUGCAUACAUCAUUGGUUUGGCAUAGAGAUGCAACUUCAUACCUUGAUGUGUAUGAAGGCAGGAGUUCAUUUGCAUUGAUAUGCAUAUUUUCUAGGCUUAAUGUUGGAUGUGAUGGAGGUAUGUUGGUAUAAA